CUUGACGACCAUAGAACAUUGGAACCACCUGAUCCCAUCCCGAACUCAGUAGUGAAACGAUGUAUCGCCGAUGGUAGUGUGGGGUUUCCCCAUGUGAGAGUAGG
rnacentral:rRNA from 1 species